AUUGAACGCUGGCGGCAGGCUUAACACAUGCAAGUCGAACGAGUGGCGGACGGGUGAGUAAUGCUUGGGAAUCUAGCUUAUGGAGGGGUAUAACUCCGGGAAACUGUAGCUAAUACCGCGUACCAUAGGAUGAGCCCAAGUGGGAUUAGGUAGUUGGUGCGGUAAAGGAUCACCAAGCCGACGCUCUCUAGCUGGUCUGAGAGGAGGACCAGCCACACUGGGACUGAGACACGGCCCAGACUCCUACGGGAGGCAGCAGUGGGGAAUAUUGCGCAAGGGGGGAAACCUGACGCAGCCAUGCCGCGUGAAUGAAGAAGUCCUUCGGGUUGUAAAGGUCUUUCGGUAGCGAAGCGUGAACUACAGAAGAAGCACCGGCUAACUCCGUGCCAGCAGCCGCGGUAAUUC
rnacentral:rRNA from 1 species